CACUCCAAACUUCAUAAAAUUUAAUAAUUUCAUUAAUUUUCAGGUUAGCAUUCUGAUCGUAUUUAGUAGGUCUAAAAUAUUUAGGUAAUUUUUUUUUUCUAAUCUUAAAAAUUUCGUAUAAUGGGUUGCUGUCGACUGCAAUUUUGUUUUUGCGGAUUCGAACUUAAAGUUGGAAUCUGGACUCUUGCCAUACUAGAAAUUCUUCUAGGCUCUUGCUAUUUAAUUGUCGAGUCCAGUGGAUAUUUGAGUAAUGUCGAUUGGAUAAAAAAGUGGUUGCAAAUAUUGAUCUAUAUUCUCGCUACAUUGUCAGUGAUUGGUGGUUUCGUAUUAAUAAUUGGAAUUGCAAGAAAAAAUCGUGUGUUACUUAUAGCGGGUACAGUUCUAGGAUGGCCAGUAGCUAUUUUAAAUGUUUUCGCCUUAAGUUAGCAUUCUGAUCGUAUUUAGUAGGUCUAAAAUAUUUAGGUAAUUUUUUUUUUCUAAUCUUAAAAAUUUCGUAUAAUGGGUUGCUGUCGACUGCAAUUUUGUUUUUGCGGAUUCGAACUUAAAGUUGGAAUCUGGACUCUUGCCAUACUAGAAAUUCUUCUAGGCUCCUGCUAUUUAAUUGUCUUGGCCAGUGGAGCUUUGAAAGAUGAAGUUUGGUUAAAAAAGUGGUUGCAAAUAUUGAGCUAUAUUAUCGCUACAUUGUCAGUGAUUGGUGGUUUCGUAUUAAUAAUUGGAAUUGCAAGAAAAAAUCGUGUGUUACUUAUAGCGGGUACAGUUCUAGGAUGGCCAGUAGCUAUUUUAAAUAUUUUCACCUUAAGUAUUCUGGCAGAUUUAUUUUUCAAUUGUCCUUUGUUCAUUCUUGGAUCAAAUUGGAUAAUAUAUGAAUUAUUCAAUCCUGAACUGCUAAAUAAUUUGGGUCAGCGGAUCAACAGGAAGAACAUUUAUAAAUGCCCUUUAAACUGUUUUGUAGCAUUCAAUUAUUAGUAUUGAGUAAAGAAGCCUUGUCACAAGAUUAAAUCUAAA